GCCAUCCUGGGGGGGAAAAGAGAAUUUAUUGUAUUCUUUUUGUAGCCAUGGAUUCUGGAGGCCUUGUUUACUUCCUUACACUUUAUGGGGAGAUGAUGGGAGCUGAAACUACUCAAACUGAUGGGUCCUUUCCUUGCAAGCCCUGUUUGAUGUUGAUGUCUCUUCUUUAGUGACCAAAACUUUUAUAUAAAGUUUGAUAUUAGAUUCAGAUCCAUGGC